AAAGCGCUGGUAAAGGGGGGGAUACGAAAGCGCUUUUAUUCAAAAAGCGCUGGUGUAGAUGGGGUUACAAAGGCGCUUUUGAAAAGCGCUCUAGUAGCUAAUUUAAAAUUAAAAUUUCUAAAACAAAAUUAACAAAACACGCUAUUUGCCUUCAGUACUGUUCUUCUCUAAGCUAGUAACGAAACCCAUAUCUCCCUUCGCUCUGCUACUAUUCCACGGGAAAUCGCCGCCGUAGAGCCAUACGUUCAUCUCCUUCUCUUCACUGCAACCACAUUCAUCCUACAAUCAUCUUCUUCUCUUCGCCACCGUAGCUCAACAACAAAGUUCAUACGCGAAGUUCAUACGCGAAGGCAUCUUCUUCUCCUCGAAUCGAUUCUGAUUUUCACAGUUACUUUGAAGGCUCUGGUUUCUACUUGUACAACGCCGAUUCAAACCUACCCGUCUCCCACAUAAAGUCUAACUCAGAAUUCCUCAGUACCUGAUAGAGAAACCAAGAAGUUUUUGUUUAGCUUAAUUAAGACAUGGAUAAGACAUGGAUGAAUUCAAACCGAUUGUCGAAAGAGUACGAGAAAGGGGUAUGGGAAUUUGUUGAGUUUGCGGUUGCGAACUCCAAAGACCCGCUUCGAAUGCCGUGUCCUUGCUUGGGUUGCUGUUAUGCCGGGGGUAAGGUUGACGGGAAUCAGUUGGGAUCUCAUUUACUACGGUUUGGAAUUGAUAGAAGUUAUACAUGUUGGACAAUGCAUGGUGAGAAAAGUACCGGGAAUGCUGGGUCGAGGUGUAAUAGGAAGUAUGCUUCAAACGACGAUUGCACAGACACAUACGAUUGUGAUCGAGUCGAAGAGAUUGCAGAAGCGCUGGAAGAAGAUCUAGCGGAUUGUCCCAAAAUGUUUGAGAGGUUGGUAAGCGAUGCAGAGAAACCGUUGUAUGAUGGUUGUUCGAAAUUCACAAGAUUGU